GCACUGUCUUUGCAUCAAAAAGAGCAGUCCUUCACAAUUUUGGUGGAAGAAUGUGGAGGAGGGGAUGUUAUUUGGAGAAAUUGACUGCAUCAAAGAAAAUGAGAAUUUAAAAGGAACACACUUUUCACUGAGAGUCUUCAAAUAGACUUUAUUACCAGGAACUCUGUGGUAAGCUGCCAUCCGCUGCCUUGCAGUCAGAGAGGCCUGGCUUUGAACUCUGCAUGUGAGUAUCUUCGAGGACAAGUGCUCUGCUUUGGCAGCUCAGCUGGGACUGGUUGUCACUGGAAGAAGAAAACCAUUUGGGUUGAACUGGAAAAACCUCAGAGCCACCACCCUCUCACAGGUGUUAGCCAUCAGCCAAACUACCCAUUUCCAAGAUAUGGGAGAGAUUUGCUUGCCAUGGCUCUGAUUUUAACCUAAAGCAGGAAGGAUGGAAUGUACUAGGUAUGAUUCCUCUGAAUGAGCCCCUGCACAGUGCCCUGUGCUGCUUCCCCAUCCCAGGAGCUGGAUUCCGUGCAAGAUGUGGCAGGAACUACCUACGAGGUUGGGU